CCUGGAGAGCGCAGGGGGUCGGCGCCCAGGCCGGGAGCGGAGAGGACCUCUACCACUCUACGGUUAGGGGUACCCCCAAACCACCUGCUGUGAUUCUCCAAUCUUCAGGCAGGGGGUCUCGGGAGGACGCUGCUUGGUGAUCCCCGAGGGGUUUUUUGAUUCAACUCCACCUGCUGGCCACCUGAAGCCUUCUCCCUCCCCGGCACAGCUGAGGGCAGCUCGCGGUCCCGCCUCAUCUUCCAGCCCGGGAGCUACCACAUUCGCCGCAGCCGCCGAUGGCCCUGACCCCCCGGUCACCCCAAGCAGGGUCCUUUCCGUCCUCACUGUCCCCGCGCCUUCCCCUUCUGAUUUCCCACUUCAGCCAGCCCGCAAAGACCCCCGCCUGCUACCCCGCACCCGGGCUGGCGCUGACAAAGCCUUCCGCACAAAGUCCUCCCUAACCCACCUUCCCUCCUUUUCCAAAGCCCGGCUCCAGAGCACCCCCCCACCCUCCGCCCCUUCCCGCGGUAUUGCUUCGCCGAGCGAACGGUUCUCCCAGUGAAUUCUGACCUCAUUCCCUCGAAACGAUGGUACCUCUCCCGCUUUUCUGACAGUCACCUCAGAAAAUUGGCACAGACGCGCGGUUUAGAAUGUAAUGAUUCAAGAAUUUUAUAAUACCGUGGAGUAGCUUAACAACUGUCUAUGUGCUUCCCAUGAUAUGUUCUCUAUAUUG